UACGUAGGGGGCAAGCGUUGUCCGGAAUCAUUGGGCGUAAAGCGCGUGUAGGCGGCUCGGUAAGUCCGCUCUGAAAGUCCAGGGCUCAACCCUGGGAUGCGGGUGGAUACUGCCGGGCUCGAGUCCGGAAGAGGCGAGUGGAAUUCCCGGUGUAGCGGUGAAAUGCGCAGAUAUCGGGAGGAACACCAAUGGCGAAGGCAGGGUCCUGGCUGGCACCUGACGCUCAUGUGCGAAAGCCAGGGGAGCGAACGGG
rnacentral:rRNA from 1 species